UACGUAGGAUGCGAGCGUUACCCGGAUUUAUUGGGUUUAAAGGGUGCGUAGGCGGACGCUUAAGUCAGCGGUAAAAUUGCGGGGCUCAACCUCGUCGAGCCGUUGAAACUGGGUGCCUUGAGUGGGCGAGAAGUACGCGGAAUGCGUGGUGUAGCGGUGAAAUGCAUAGAUAUCACGCAGAACUCCGAUUGCGAAGGCAGCGUACCGGCGCCCUACUGACGCUGAAGCACGAAGGCGUGGGUAUCGAACAGG
rnacentral:rRNA from 1 species